UCAAGAGACAUAGCCCCUCAAGAACAAUGUGUAAAGAUUUAAACUUUCAAUGUAUUAGUUAAGCUAGAAACAUUUUAGGAGUAACUUGAAAGCCGUGUACUGUUUGUUUAUAUCAUUCUUUCUUUUUUUUUUUUUUUUCUUCUCUUCAGAUUGCAUUUUAAAUCAAAAUGUUCUCCAUGACUGACUGCUUUGCAGCACUAGGGUACAGGGCAGCAUCCCGUACUCUUUGCAUAAGCACAAGCCCCGCUGACGUCAAUGGGAGUUUUGCUGGAGCGAGGGCUGCGCGCCUUGGCCUGCUGCUAUAAACACGUUGGGACUUUCUCUUUUAAUGGAUGCUGCGAUGGAGAAACGAGUGUUCCUCUAACUCGAUGCACACACAGUCCUCACGCAUCCCCAGACCAACGGCACAGCAGCCACUGGGCCUGCAGGUUAAUACAAGUAAAGUAAUCUGUGUAUCUCCAAGAGAGGAUUGUGGUUGUUUUCUGAAGAAGCCUAUAGGUAAAGGACUUCCAUACAUCCACAAAGGAGGAUUCAUAAAGACAGAGACAAGACUAUAAAGGUAUUAUUUUGACGUGAUGAGCCCUGCUUGGAAAAUAUCUUUGACUCAUCCGAAGUUGUUGCCACUUUUGCUGCCUUUGCCUUGGACAAGUUGAGUAAUUCUCUGGCCCCUUUGAAAUAUGUCUCAUCUGCACCGAAUUUCUGCCAACAAACCAACUGAUAGAUAUGGAUGGGUACCUCGAUCCAUAAAUGAAAGAACAGAACUCAGGAAUCACUGGAAGAAAAUCACCCAGUAACUAUGGGCAGAGAAGCGGGACUGGGAGGGCUUUGAGACCGCGUUUUCUGGAAUGAUUCCUGCCAGGCUGGAAACCCUGCAAGAGCGCGUUGCUUGCACUGCUCCGCUUCCAGCCCCAGGAAGCACACAGGUUCGGUGGAUGUUGCACAUGAGACCAUCUGUACUGGGACAAGUGUGCCCCAGAACAGACCUUCUGAAGAGUGCCAUGUAUUAGUUGUCUGCUUCCAUAGGAUGCUGAAAAUGCACUUAAAGCCUUCCCUCUUACUUUCCUCUAUCCUUCCUCAAUGACCUUUAUUCGAGCCUAAUAUUUUUCUCCAGACUUGCAAUGACAGGCAUUUUUAAUAUGCUUCUGUUGCAUUAAUAAAAAGAUAGCUAUAUAUUAAAAAACCCCUCUUCUGCAGUUACAAGAGUUCCUUUAUAGCUGUAAGGCUAUUAACUAACAUCUUUGUAACAGAGAAAAUAAAUUAUUUGCUUUAUAUUUCAAA